rnacentral:lncRNA from 1 species
GAUCACACACCCUGCACUGAGUUCCAACUCACAUCAAAACUGCAGGUUGUAUCCCUCCUGCUCAGGGAAGCCUCAGAAAGGAUCUCCUUGGCCAAUGGAAAAUGGAGCUCGGAGAUGCUUUGUGCUCUUGCAGUGAGAUGUAUGUCUUCAAAGUAUCUCUUUGGAAAAACAAAGUUCCCCCACCCUGAUCACACAAUGCAUUCUUGUUCCCUUCGAAAUUUUAGGAAAUUUUUUAAAAGCACUAAGAAGAAAAAUAAAUUAUGUCUAUAUCUCCACCCAUGAAAAUGGGGUCCCUUCUCAUCUUUCACUAUCAUUUAAUAACCUCCAAGCACAUCCAUUUUAUUAGCUCCAUAAG